AUUGAACGCUGGCGGCAGGCCUAACACAUGCAAGUCGAACGGUAACAGGAAGCAGCUUGCUGCUUCGCUGACGAGUGGCGGACGGGUGAGUAAUGUCUGGGAAACUGCCUGAUGGAGGGGGAUAACUACUGGAAACGGUAGCUAAUACCGCAUAACGUCGCAAGACCAAAGAGGGGGACCUUAGGGCCUCUUGCCAUCGGAUGUGCCCAGAUGGGAUUAGCUAGUAGGUGGGGUAACGGCUCACCUAGGCGACGAUCCCUAGCUGGUCUGAGAGGAUGACCAGCCACACCGGAACUUAGACACGGUCCAGACUCCUACGGGAGGCAGCAGGGGGGAAUAUUGCACAAUGGGCGGAAGCCUGAUGCAGCCAUGCCGCGUGGAUGAAGAAGGCCUUCGGGUUGUAAAGUACUUUCAGCGGGGAGGAAGGGAGUAAAGUUAAUACCUUUGCUCAUUGACGUUACCCGCAGAAGAAGCACCGGCUAACUCCGUG
rnacentral:rRNA from 1 species